UGAGUACGAGAUGCUACGGCAUCGAAGCAGUCUAUGUCAUACUUCCAAGAAAAGCUUGCAAUGUCAUAAACAAAUAAUGCCUGUACCAUAACCGACACAGGUGGGUAGGUAGAGUAUACUAAGGGGCGCGAGAUAACUCUCUCUAAGGAACUCGGCAAAAUGACUCCGUAACUUCGGGAGAAGGAGUGCCUUAUUUUUAUAAGGUUGCAAUAACAAGAUCCAAGCAACUGUUUACCAAAAACACAGGUCUCCGCUAAGUCGUAAGACGAUGUAUGGGGGCUGACGCCUGCCCAGUGCCAGAAGGUUAAAGAAGUUGGUUAGCAUUAGCGAAGCUGAUAACUGAAGCCCUGGUGAACGGCGGCCGUAACUAUAACGGUCCUAAGGUAGCGAAAUUCCUUGUCGGGUAAGUUCCGACCCGCACGAAAGGCGUAAUGAUUUUGAUACUGUCUCGGAGAGGGGCUCGGUGAAAUAGACUUGUCUGUGAAGAUGCGGACUACCUGCACCUGGACAGAAAGACCCUAUGAAGCUUUACUGUAACUUGAGAUUGAAAUUGGACUUUAUCUGCGCAGUAUAGGUGGGAGACGUUGAAAAUAUUCUUGCGGGAAUAUUGGAGUCAUCAGUGAGAUACCACUCUUAUAAUGUUAGAUUUCUAACUUUGUAUCAUUAUCUGGUCAAAGAACAGUUUCAGGCGGGCAGUUUGACUGGGGCGGUCGCCUCCCAAACGGUAACGGAGGCGCACAAAGGUUUCCUCUGAACGUGUAGAAAUCGUAUCCAGAGUGUAAAGGCAUAAGGAAGCUUGACUGUGAGACCUACAAGUCGAGCAGGGACGAAAGUCGGUCUUAGUGAUCUGACGGUGCUGAGUGGAAAGGCCGUCACUCAACGGAUAAAAGUUACUCUAAGGAUAACAGGCUGAUCUCCCCCAAGAGUUCACAUCGACGGGGAGGUUUGGCACCUCGAUGUCGGCUCAUCGCAUCCUGGGGCGGUAGUACGUCCCAAGGGUUGGGCUGUUCGCCCAUGAAAGCGGUACGCGAGCUGGGUUCAGAACGUCGUGAGACAGUUCGGUCCAUAUCCGGUGUAGGCGUUAGAAUAUUGAGAGGAGCCUUCUUUAGUACGAGAGGACCGAGAAGGACAUACCUCUGGUGUACCAGUUAUCGUGCCAACGGUAAACGCUGGGUAGCCAUGUAUGGAGAGGAUAACCGCUGAAAGCAUCUAAGUGGGAAGCCCACCUCAAGAUAAG
rnacentral:rRNA from 1 species